UCAAGGAUUCCAGGACUGAAUAUUGUGCAAACCGAGAAAACACCCAAACCCAAGGGGCAAACAAUUUAUUAUAUUCAGCUAAUAUGAUAGGUGGGGCAGGGUUAGACUUUUACUCAUUCCUUUAUUCAGUUGUACCAAGAAAAGAAAACUCAGCCCCCCCCCAUUGAUUUAAUCUUCCCCUCCCAAACUACCGAGUAGUGAGAGAAGGAAACAAUCUUUAAAUUUGCAAGUCAUCAGGAUUUCCAUUUCUACUAUUGAAAUAAUUUUUUUUUGAAUGGCCCAGAAUUUGCAUAAAUUCUUAGUCUUCUCAUUUCCUCUGCCUGCUCCUUUCCUCGAUGACCCUGAGCCCAUGUGGUGGAAAAUUCUAUUUAAUAAACGAGGAAAUGGAGGCAUAAGGUUUUGAUUUAACAUCUGAGCAGCCAUCUUAAAUGGAGGCCAAUAGCAGUUGAAAUGACCAUCCUUGGAUCUCACAGAAAGUAAAAAGUAGAACUAAGACCACUCUCAGCUCACCUAAUUCUCAGCCCAGGACUCUUCUCCAUAACAAGUUUACCCUAUAAUGCAAGUGAUGAAGAACCAACCUACUUUCCCUCUGUUUCUUUUGGAGAUUGGGUAUUCCAGAUGAGAACUCAGGAUGGCUGCUCUGCCCCAAAGUCAUAAACAGUGUAGAAAUCACAGUUACCAAAUAUCUAGGGUAGUCUACGCAAAGAAGAGGUAUAGUCAAAGCACCCAAGUUUAAAAUCCAUACUUUGAGGAACUGCAAUCAGUCCACUGUAGCCAGAGUUCAGGGUCAUGCAGACGAGGCAGGAGUCAAUUCAUAAAGGGCUUUCUACAUCAUGGUAUAGACUAUAUUAUAUUUGUGAUUUGUCAGUGCCUCUUUCUGUGGGAACAUUAUGCAACCCUGCCCUGUGAAAAUCCAAUGUGACCACGUGACUUGUUCUGGUCCAUGACAUGACAUGGAAGUUGGUAUAAGAAAGAUGGGAGUCAAUGGAUUAAGAGAGAGAGAAAAGAAAAAAAAAAAGGUUUAGAUUUUAUGAUUUAAUUCAUCCAAACUUUCAUCCAAUAAGUGUGCAUUGAGUUUUUAUUUGUGUUCAGUAUUGUUCUAAGAAAACUGAGGAAUAUAGGAGCAGGAAAAAACACAAUUUCUUCCCAGGAAGAGUUCUAUCUAAAUGGAAAUAUAAAGUGAACAUACAAGAAACAAAUAGAGAAUAAAACAAAAUACUAUAUCCAGAUACUAAGCUCACUGGCAAGUGGCACAAUGGAGACAAUACUGGUGUGGAUGUCAGAAGAUUCUGCAUUUUUGGUGGGAAUAUACAAUGAUUCAGUUGUUGUGGAAAACAGUGCAUGGAUUCUUAAAAAAUUAGAAGUAGAACUGCCAUAUAAUUCAGCAAUUGGAAUAUAUCCAAGGGAGUUGAAAUUAAAAGUAGUCUUGAAGAGAUAGCUAUACACCCAUGUUCAUAGCAGUAUCAUUCACAGUAGCCAAAAAGUGGGAGAAAUCAAGCAUCCACUGAUGGAAAAGUGUAUACACAAAGCUUACAUAAUGGAAUAUUGUUCGGUUUUUAAAAGGAAAGAAAUUCUCAUAUAAGCUACAACAUGGAUGAAACUUGAGGACACUAUGCUAAGUGAAAUAAGCCAACCACCAAAUGACCAAUUCUUUGGAAUCCCACUUAUAUGAAGCACCUAGAUCAGAUUCAUAGAGAUAGAAGACAGAAUGGUAGUUGCCUAGAGCUGGUGGGAGGAAGGAUUUGGUGGGGGCAGAUCUCAUUUAAUGGUUUUGCAAGAUGAAAAGAAUUCUGGAGAUUGGUUGUUCACCAGUGUGAAUGUCCUUAAC